AAAUAAAAAGCAUCACAAACUAAGGAAUCUUUGAUAUAACUAUGAUGGUGUUCUAUAUUUUUCAUUAGAAAAAGAUUACCAAAGCAAUGGAGAAAGAAGAAGUCACAUGAUCCAGGCUAUUGUAAGGCCAUAUAAGGGUAGGGUGUGAAUUGGGCACAUAGUGCAAGGCCUGGUCCUUGUCGUGCAUUAUAAUAUCUCGGGCUGGAUAUAUCACUUGUGAAAUCACCAACAAUUAGCAAUCCAAGGUCGUUACAUAUGGGUAAACUGUAAUGGACAUCAGUAUCUGAGUGUGGAGCUUCAUUACCUGCUUGGCUGGUAAUACUUCUGUGCAUGUCUUCUGCACAAUCAUAUGUUUGUACAUUUGAAAUCCUUUCAGGUUGAAUAGACAACAGAGUAGCAAGCCAGAAAUAGCAAUGAUAGUGGCGGACGCUGUCAUCCUGGAACAUGCCACUGGACACUACCUAUGAUAUCUCUUAUUUGUUUUACUAUUGAUUUAGUUAAUGUGCCAUUAGCAUUAUUUAAUUGGAGGCAAAGGAGAAAUAUUAUGUUUGAAAACUGAUAGUCUAAUAAUAUUUAUCCAACUUGUUGUAUUUAUUGAUUAUAAACCAUCAUAUAUUUCAGACUGAGAUCUCGCCUUGAAAUUUUAUUGUACUCCUAAACUUUCAUUGUUUAGGUGGCACAAGUAAUAGUGAACAACGUGUCUCUGGGAAAAAAACUUAUAAAUCAUCCUUUUGGAUGUUUGCUUUCUCUUAGGUCUUUAUGUGGCCACGGGUGAUGAUUACCAUGUCUACGCACUUUUCCUAGAUACACUUCACUUUCCUCAAUGUUCUUAAGUUCUCCUUGCUAGGAGCUUGCAUGCUCUGCUCAGGAACAGUUAUUUUGAUUUCACUUGUACAUAUCGUUCAAGACAGCAGUUGUUGAUGUGCAUUAAGGGGUAAGCCAAUUCCUUCUAUCGAUUCAUCAUGGUAUUGCUCCUCAAAUGGUUAUUCUAAAUUAGUGGCCAGUUCUUUAGUUGUGAUUUUGCAAUGCAUUUAUAGUUGCUGUUGUCUAUUGUGAUUCUCUAGGAUCUUUUCUGGUAAAUUUGCUUGGUCAAUUCCAUUGUAGACUUAUAAGAACAUUUCAGGUUUCGGGGACUGCAUCUUCAAUAUAGUUACAAAAAUUUAGAAAGUCCUUUAAAGGAUGUUCCCUUUCUGUAAUAAAACUUGAGUUUGUAUAACAAGUUGGUAUGAUAUUACAAAACUAGCGAUCUGGGACUAUUCAUGAUUUACAUCUCAAAGAAAGAAAUGAAGUGAAAUAGCGAGUUUGUUGAUGUAAAAAAAUGAAUAUCGAUCUGUUUGUAUAUAUGUUACU